AACGAACGCUGGCGGCGUGCCUAACACAUGCAAGUCGAACGAGAAAGUUUCCUUCGGGGAAUGAGUAAAGUGGCGCAAGGGUGAGUAACACGUGAAUAAUCUGCCUUCGAGACUGGGAUAACUUGACGAAAGUUAAGCUAAUACCGGAUAAGACCACGCUUCACAAGGAGUGCGGUAAAAGGGGUCUCAAACCCCGCUUGUAGAUGAGUUCGCGUACCAUUAGCUUGUUGGUGAGAUAACAGCUCACCAAGGCGACGAUGGUUAGCCGGCCUGAGAGGGUGAUCGGCCACACUGGAACUGAGACACGGUCCAGACUCCUACGGGAGGCAGCAGUGGGGAAUAUUGCGCAAUGGGCGAAAGCCUGACGCAGCAACGCCGCGUGAGCGAUGAAGGCCUUCGGGUCGUAAAGCUCUGUCAAGUGGGAAGAACACAAUGACGGUACCACUAGAGGAAGCCCCGGCUAACUUCGUG
rnacentral:rRNA from 1 species